UACGUAGGGGGCAAGCGUUGUCCGGAAUCAUUGGGCGUAAAGAGCGCGUAGGCGGCCCUGUAAGUCCGCUGUGAAAGUCAAGGGCUCAACCCUUGGAUGCCGGUGGAUACUGCAGGGCUAGAGUCCGGAAGAGGCGAGUGGAAUUCCUGGUGUAGCGGUGAAAUGCGCAGAUAUCAGGAGGAACACCUAUUGCGAAGGCAGCUCGCUGGGACGUUACUGACGCUGAGACGCGAAAGCGUGGGGAGCAAACAGG
rnacentral:rRNA from 1 species